AUUCCAGCUCCAAAAGUGUAUAUUUAAGUUGUUGCGGUUAAAAAGCUCGUAGUUGGAUUUUGGGCGCAGGCGGCCGGUCCGUCGCAAGGCGUGUACUGGCCGUCCUGGCCUCACCUCCGGUUCUCCGCCGGUGCCCUUGACUGAGUGUCGGCGGCGGCCGGAACGUUUACUUUGAAAAAAUUAGAGUGUUCAAAGCAGGCGAUUCGCCUGAAUAAUGGUGCAUGGAAUAAUGGAAUAGGACCUCGGUUCUAUUUUGUUGGUUUUCGGAGCGCGAGGUAAUGAUUAAGAGGGACAGACGGGGGCAUUCGUACUGUGCCGUUAGAGGUGAAAUUCUUGGAUUUGUUAAAGACGGACUACUGCGAAAGCAUUUGCCAAGGAUGUUUUCAUUG
rnacentral:rRNA from 1 species